CCCUUAGAUGUUCUGGGCUGCACGCGCGCUACACUGAAGCGUUCAACGAGUAUUCACCUUGCCCGGGAGGGUUGGGUAAUCUUUUGAAAACGCUUCGUGAUGGGGAUAGAUUAUUGCAAUUAUUAAUCUUCAACGAGGAAUUCCUAGUAAGCGCGAGUCAUCAGCUCGUGCUGAUUACGUCCCUGCCCUUUGUACACACCGCCCGUCGCACCUACCGAUUGAAUGGUCCGGUGAAAUCUUGGGAUUUUGUUUUGUUUGCAUUUAUUUGUAUCGAGACGAGAGAACUUGAGUAAACCUUACCAUUUAGAGGAAGGUGAAGUCGUAACA
rnacentral:rRNA from 1 species